rnacentral:rRNA from 1 species
UACAGAGGGUGCGAGCGUUGUUCGGAAUUACUGGGCGUAAAGCGCGCGCAGGCGGCCCUUUAAGUCUGUCGGUCAAACGCCGGGGCUCAACCCCGUGCUCGCCGCGGAUACUGGAGGGCUGGAGACAGGUAGAGGCAGGCGGAAUUCCGGGUGUAGCGGUGGAAUGCGUAGAGAUCCGGAAGAACACCAGAGGCGAAGGCGGCAUCCUGGACCAUUACUGACGCUGAGGCGCGAAAGCUAGGGGAGCAAACGGG